rnacentral:rRNA from 1 species
GCGAGAAAACUUUGCAAUGUGCGAAAGCACGACAAGGUUAAUCCGAGUGGUUUCUGCUAAAGAAACCUUUUGUCAGUCCUAGAAACACUAACGAAUAAGGGGUGGGCAAGUUCUGGUGUCAGCCGCCGCGGUAAAACCAGCACCUCAAGUGGUCAGGAUGAUUAUUGGGCCUAAAGCAUCCGUAGCUCGUUUUGUAAGUUUCGGUUAAAUCCAUGCGCUUAACGUAUGGGCUGCCGGGAAUACUGCAUAACUAGGAAGUGGGAGAGGUAGACGGUACUCGGUAGGAAGGGGUAAAAUCCUUUGAUCUAUUGAUGACCACCUGUGGCGAAGGCGGUCUACCAGAACACGUUCGACGGUGAGGGAUGAAAGCUGGGGGAGCAAACCGGAUUAGAUACCCCAGUAGUCCCUGAGCGGGCUGGCAAGGCGCAU